GACGAACGCUGGCGGCGUGCUUAACACAUGCAAGUCGAACGAUGAAGCCGGAGCUUGCUCCGGUGGAUUAGUGGCGAACGGGUGAGUAACACGUGAGCAAUCUGCCCUUGACUCUGGGAUAACUGCGGGAAACUGUAGCUAAUACCGGAUACGACACCUUGGGGCAUCCCAGGGUGUGGAAAGAAUUUCGGUCAAGGAUGAGCUCGCGGCCUAUCAGCUGGUUGGUGAGGUAAUGGUGCACCAAGGCGACGACGGGUAGCCGGCCUGAGAGGGUGACCGGCCACACUGGAACUGAGACACGGUCCAGACUCCUACGGGAGGCAGCAGUGGGGAAUAUUGCACAAUGGGCGAAAGCCUGAUGCAGCAACGCCGCGUGAGGGAUGAAGGCCUUCGGGUUGUAAACCUCUUUUAGCAGGGAAGAAGCGAAAGUGACGGUACCUGCAGAAAAAGCACCGGCUAACUACGUGCCAGCCGCCGCCGUAA
rnacentral:rRNA from 1 species